GUCAGAGGAGAGGAAGUGCGGCUGAAGGGCUGGGUAAUGAAGACACCCCCAAACCAUUGCUGGAGACCCACUUAGAUAACCUCUAUGACACUUAACUCUACCAGCAAAGGCCACACAUAGUCUUUCAGGUUAAACAGCCAAGAAUCAGUCCUGAGGAUCUAAGACUCGAGUCAUCUUCUUGAAUUUGAAAUGGUGGACGAAGAUGUUGAGACAUCAAAGGUCCAGGGAAGGCCACCACCUCUCUUUCUUCUUUGGGAUCAGAAAAUGGGACUAAAGCCUCCAGUUCCUGAACUCUACAGCUCAAGUUGGACCUCUGGUAGCAAUGAUCAAUCUGCAUACGAUAUUAAUUUGUCAGCAACAUUCCUCCUGUUUUAAUGGUGCAGUCCUGCAAGGCAUCCUCAGAUGGCUCUUCCAUUGAAAUAUAUAGGACCAGUUCUGAAGAGGAUAGUAAUGCAGUCUCUAUACCCAUGUUAUCUUCAGCCUCUCUGCUAAAAAUCUGUAUGGGUACCAAAUUGUGGUGGAGGGUUCUGACACGGAUGCCUGCCGCUUACAAACUGGACUGAGACCACAGACUGAUUUCAGCAGCAGACCUUACAUUACUACUAACCUGAGAUGCUUCCAAACCAGUAGUCUAUAGGUAAACUGUAUCCUGUAAUCAAUCUCUGAUCAUCCAUAUUUCAAAUAUAUGCUAUAUACAGCUCAGGACUAAAGCCUCUGUAGCAAAACUUACAUUUAAAAAACUAAAACUAAGAAAAUAUCAAUUUACAGCAUUUGAGAGCAAGCAAGCUGCUUUACAACCAAACUUGCGGCUUUUUUUUUUGUUUUGUUUUCCAAAACAUUUCCCAAACAAACCCCAGUUUGUGAUUCAAUAGGCAAAACACUGUCCUUGAGAAAUAUUGCACUCUCAGACAAACUUAUACAUGUGACAUCAUUAUUCUGUCUUCAUUAUGCAAAACUUCAUUAAAACCAUAGAAGUUAGGGCGAAGCACGUUGAAGACAUAGUAGCCAAUGGAAUAAGAACUGAAGCACAUUGCCAGCGCUAGGGAUGCCGUUGCCAUAGGCAGUCUGGCAAAUGCCUGACUUUACCAGCCUGCAGUCAGAGACACAACUCAAGUGGUUACUGAACAUUUCAAUGUCGCUAGCAAUCACCUAUUCUCUAUGUAGGGUAGAGUUGGCCCUGAACAAAGGUAUGCUGGCAUGAGGUUUCAGGGGAAAGCAUGUUGGACCAGCAUGUAGGAGAAAGAUCCAAGAUGUUAAUUCCUUGAAGACAUGAUGCUGUAACUAAAGCAAUACAAAUAUAGAUAGUCUUAUGGCUAAGGCCUAAA